CAACUAACCACUGUCUUCACUAACUCCAGUUCCAGGGGAUCUGAUGCCCUCUUCUGACCUCUGCAGCUCCAGGGAUACCAGGGUGCAGGAAUGUGAGGCUCCUCCAGAGAUCCUGCUCCAUGUGUCCCAGCAAAAGGGCCCUCUCCAGACCAAUGGAGCCAACUGCACUAAAGAACACUCAGUGCUUUGCUCAAUGAGGGUGGCAAAGCAGGUCAGUCUUGUUCCUGAUCUGAGGUGAAGCUUUCAGUCUCAUAUUAUGCUGCUAGCUCUGCCUGCCUGAUGCUGAUUGAGAAAGUUUCUUUUUCAUCACACCUAUCCUGAAAGGCUGCUGAAUUUUGUCCAACACCUUUUCUCUAUCUCGGGGUUAUGUUUUUCUCUUAACAGAAUGUGUUACAUUAUUAGUUUUCACAGCUCAAACCAUGGUUGGUUUCUAGGAAACACAGCCUCUGUGGUAGGUACUUCUCUACCCAGGCCACAGACACAGCUGGAAACCCAACUACUGAAUUCAUUGCCUUAGCAAAACAGGCUGCCCACAGCUUCAGUUAAGAGACUUGGGGGGUGGGGGUGCAGCAUGAGGGGUACUGGGGAUGGAACCCAGGGCCUUGUGCAUAUUGGGUAAGUGCUCUGUCACAGAGCUUCCCUGAAAGGCAGACUAGGGAUUUUCUCUGGGCUUCACCUUUUGUCUUCUGGCCUAUAAGAAAGAGUCAUAAUCAACCAAUGGACCUAAACUAAACCCUAAGAAGUAAACAAAACUCCAGGACUAGUUUCUUUUGCUGGAACUCCAGCAAAAAUACAUUUAGGAACUGGGGUAGAGCUCAAUGGCACAGCAUGUGCUUAGGGAAAAAUGUAUUCCUAGCAAAUGAGAACAUUUUGAAUCCUAUAAGCUGAGGCACUUCUGCAGAAGGGGCAGAGAAGGGUAAUGUGAAGAAAACACUGAGCCUCUUUUGAAGAGGCAGUUAUAGGCUCCCCAGUAACCCUGGCAGAAGCCAUACCCACAAACCAAGUGACAGGAAAUACCUGCUGCACUCAACUUUCUUAUGGCAAUCACACUAAUUGUGUGGUUUUUGUUUGAUGCUGAAUAGAAUCCAGGGCUCCACUAGGCAAGUGCUGAGCCUCCAAGCCAUACUCCAGCACCCCCACCUCAAUUUAAAUAAAUGCAGUGGGAGCUUAAUGAUAGGGAAAAAAAACUUAAAAACCAGAAAAGCUCAGGUAUGUGGUCAGAAGUAUUUUUCCCCAAUCUUUCCAACAGUAAAAUAACAAUUGGACGCAUGUAGGGGAAGUUUUUCUAUUCGUGUGUUUGAAAGCCCAGACAUGUUCCAUGUUUGUGCAGUCCCCACAGAAGCAAGAAGAGGGCAUUAGAUCCCCUGGAACUGCAGUUACAAUCUUUUGUAAGCUGCCAUGUAGGUGUUGGGAACUGAACCUGGAUCCUUUGCAAGAGCAGUUAAGUGCAUUUAACAGCUAAGCCAUCUCUCUGGCUCCAUAUUUGCUAUUUGAUUUUCUUUAAAUGAUAGGUUUCACAAAACUAGCCCUGAACUCCCCCAUCCUCCUGCCUCAGCCUCCCCAGUCUCCCACCAUGCCUGGCUUUGGGGAAAUUAUUUUCAUCAGUUCAACUCUGGCUAUACUAGAAUGACCUGAAAAAAGAGAUCUUAAUCUUUUCCUUUCUUAACAGACAUCUGAUCCCACUAUGUUGUCCUGACUGGCCCCAAAUGCCUAGGCUCAAGUGAUCCUCCUGCCUGAGCCUCCUGAGCAUCUGAUUAUAGGUGUUUCACUAUGCCCCCAAAAGUAUAUUUUCUCUCUCUCAGAGAUAGGGUCUCCCCAGCUGGCCUUGAUCUUGCUGUGUAGACCAAGCUGCCCUUGAUUUCACGGAGAUCUGCUGGGAUUAAAGAGUGUGUCACCAUGCAUGGCUAAAAAGAGAUGAUUUUUCUGGUCUUUUUUGAGACAGGAUCUCCCUGUAGCCCCAGGUGGUCUGGAACUCCCUAUGUACACCACGCUGGCCUCAACCUCACAGAUAUCUGCCUGCCUCUGCCUCCAGAGUGCUGGGAUUAAGGGUGUGUGUCAGCACACCCAGGUAAAAAGUGUCAAGACCCAACAGGAAGAAAGCAAAGCAACAGGAGUCUGAAAAGUAGAAGCAAUGUGCGAUUUGCGGGGCUUGGUUAGCAAAGACCCAGUGGAUGCUCUGGCAGAAUCAGCACUGUUUUUGUAAAGUGGCUUCUAGGUGGUGGCUCUUCAGUCCUAGCUUGUACACCAUAUGUAUUUCUGGACACCAGUCCCUGCUCCAGGAGAGCAUCUGUGAAAAAUGAGAACUGCAUAUUGCAGUUAGCUUUAAGUCAAUGGCACACAGUCAUUUCUAUGGUUGUACCUGAAACAGGAAAUGGCCCAAGGUACCAAGCAAUUUGGGACUGCUCCUCCUAUGGAACAUGUUUUCUCCAUUCCAUGUCCCACCAGUAUUGAUGAAAGGCAAAGACUCACACUAAGGGCAGAUACUCUAGGGUGAGGUAUGAAGACCUCUCUCUUCUGAACACCAUGACCAAAAAAUGUUCUCAGACGGCCACGAGUCUGCAAGAAACAAAAAAACAGGGCAGCUUUUCUUUGUUCUUGUUAAAUUUUAUUGGCAUCACGUUCAUCUCUUUACAGAAGAACUCAGCCCACACCCUAGAAUGUAGACCUCUUGAGGGGGAAGUGCUCCAGGAAGCAAGCAGGUCCUUGGGAGGGGGCAGAACUGCCAGGGCUCAACCCAAGAGACAGGUGGGUUAGUGCUGGGCCACACUGGGUGGAGUGGGUAAAGGAGAAGGGGUCUGCUAGCCUAAGGGUACCACAACCCUGAAAGGAGCGCCUUCUAGAACAAAGGUAGAGUCACUAGGACAGGUCUGCUGGGGUUGUCCUUUCCUCUUAAGAGUAGGAUGCUGUUCUAACAGGAAUUGUAAAGUGUUGAAUGGAAAGGAAAAAAAAAAAAAAAAAAAAAAA